rnacentral:rRNA from 1 species
CGGACGGGUGAGUAACACGUGGAUAACCUACCUAUAAGACUGGGAUAACUUCGGGAAACCGGAGCUAAUACCGGAUAAUAUAUUGAACCGCAUGGUUCAAUGGUGAAAGACGGUUUUGCUGUCACUUAUAGAUGGAUCCGCGCCGCAUUAGCUAGUUGGUAAGGUAACGGCUUACCAAGGCAACGAUGCGUAGCCGACCUGAGAGGGUGAUCGGCCACACUGGAACUGAGACACGGUCCAGACUCCUACGGGAGGCAGCAGAG